AUAGGAGAGAGACUAUCAAUGCUUUCAGGCUUAAAUCAAAAGUGAUGACUCAGUGAUUCCAUGGCUGUUGUAUUUGCUGAGCUAUUACUCCUUUGCUCCAUUACACUUUUAUUUUAACU